UUGAUAAUAAAAGAUCUGUAGCAGGUCCGGAGACAUAGGCAACAUUGGCCGAACUCCGUUAACAAUUUUGUGUGUGUUUUCCCGCUCCCAUAAAUUCGGUUUUCUGCAAAAUUUUACCGGGCAUUUCCUAACACUGCCAUCCCUUGACAUAGGUUUAAAUACAUGGACUAAGGUCUCUAAUAAAUCAACAAAAAGAGAAGAAAGGGAAUUAGUAUCUGUAACCAUCGUUUGAGAAACUGCAUUGUUUGUUAAACGUCAUCCAGUUUUUCACUCUAUCUCCAAAUAGAUUGAAA
rnacentral:lncRNA from 1 species